AACGCGAAGAACCUUACCCAGGCUUGACAUCCUCGGAACCUCUCUGAGAGGAGGGGGUGCCAUCUCACGAUGGAGCCGAGAGACAGGUGCUGCAUGGCUGUCGUCAGCCCGUGCUGUGAGGUGCUCGGUUAAGUCCGGCAACGAGCGCAACCCCUGUCGUUAGUUACCAGCAUUUAGUUGGGGACUCUAGCGAGACUGCCGGUGACAAACCGGAGGAAGAUGGGGAUGAUGUCAAGUCAUCAUGGCCUCUAUGACCAGGGCUACACACGUGCUACAAUGGUAGGAACAGAGGGAAGCCAACCGGCGACGGGGAGCCAAUCCCAGAAAACCUAUCGUAGUCCGGAUUGGAGUCUGCAACUCGACUCCAUGAAGUCGGAAUCGCUAGUAAUCGCAGAUCAGCAUUGCUGCGGUGAAUACGUUCCCGGGUCUUGUACACACCG
rnacentral:rRNA from 1 species